GUUUGAUCCUGGCUCAGAACGAACGUUAGCGGCGCGCCUAACACAUGCAAGUCGAGCGAGAAAGGGGCAACCCCGGUAAAGCGGCGCACGGGUGAGUAACACGUAGGUAAUCUACCCUCGGGUGGAGGAUAACUUUCCGAAAGGAAGGCUAAUACUGCAUGAGACCACGAUUCCGGAAGGGAUUGAGGUCAAAGCCGGCCACUGUACACAAGCUGGCGCCUGAGGAUGAGCCUGCGGCCCAUCAGCUAGUUGGUAGGGUAAUGGCCUACCAAGGCGAAGACGGGUAGCUGGUCUGAGAGGAUGAUCAGCCACACUGGAACUGAGACACGGUCCAGACUCCUACGGGAGGCAGCAGUGGGGAAUCUUGCGCAAUGGGCGAAAGCCUGACGCAGCGACGCCGCGUGAGUGAUGAAGGCCU
rnacentral:rRNA from 1 species